CACGUAGGGGGCAAGCGUUGUCCGGAUUUAUUGGGCGUAAAGAGCUCGUAGGCGGUUCGGUAAGUCGGGUGUGAAACCUCCAGGCUCAACCUGGAGAGGCCACCUGAUACUGCUGUGACUCGAGUCCGGUAGGGGAGCGUGGAAUUCCUGGUGUAGCGGUGAAAUGCGCAGAUAUCAGGAGGAACACCGGUGGCGAAGGCGGUGGUCUGGGCCGGAACUGACGCUGAGGAGCGAAAGCGUGGGGAGCGAACAGG
rnacentral:rRNA from 1 species